GGGUAAUACUCUUGUCAAGAGAUUAAUGUGCAUAUUGAGUGUAGUAAGGACUCUAAGGGCUGAGAUCGCUUCCUGAGAUAUGGGAAGGAAAAUGAUCAGAAAAAGAAGGAAGCCAAAGAGAAAGUUAUCUGGGCUUAACAAACAGAAGCGCGUUUUCUGAGAACCAGUUGGAAGAAGGCUGAACUGCCAGAACCUACUCUCUACUAAUUCAUGCCAUAAUAGGUGUUUUUGUUUGUUUUUAAAGAUCUUUGGACUGUGAAAAAACUUCCUUUAGCCAUUGUAUUAGGGCAGGUCUGCUGGCAAGUAAUUCUCUUAGUUUUCCUUUUUUGUGUUUGUUUUACAAAAUGUGUCACUGCUCUCCACUUUCAAGACUUUUUUGGUUGCACUUUCCUGGUCCUUUAGCUACAGAGAACGGGCUCUUGAGCCUUUGUCUGUCUGCAGCCUUUCCAGGUUGUUGGGUACUCCAGUAACUGAGCUCAGUGCUGAGGACCAGCUGUUCAUCGGUGUAUCUCCUGCAUGGAAUUUAGUGACUGACCCAGAGAAGGCACUCAGGGUGUCUAGGAAUAUGUGAAUGCUGAGGAUAUGGUCCUCAGGACCUUCAGGACAUCUUCCCUGUCCAGGAUGUGAGCAUUCUUGAGGGAACAUGAAAAUUAAGAGAGCGCACACACCAAGAAACAACAUGACUCCAGGAAGCUGGUAGGGAAGAAAAACUAACACAGCCAGAAUUCUCUUCACCUUCAGCAAGCUCUUCAUGCCAGUGACCAUCUCCGCAAGCCUCGCAUCUAACACGGAAUGACAAAUCUACACGCAAAAACUUCUAUCACAUAGCUCAGACACCCUCUAAAUGUGUUAAACAGGAGCAUGCAUAUGAAACCUCACACAAAAAGUGGCAUAAUUGCUUGAGAAAAGAAGUGGUGACAAGGGAAUAAAAAUUUCUUUAUUUUCUUUCUUGA